CUGAAAUAUCUUAACAACUGUUGGACUAUUGGAUGGAUUGCCAAGAAAUUUGGUACACGCAUUCAUGUCCCCCUCAGAAUGUACCGCAAUAAGUUUGGUGAUCUUCUGAGUGUGAUCUAGCUCCAUCAUCAGAGGCUGCUAUCUGUUUCAGGAGCCUGGCCAGAUGGUUUAUCGGCUGUGCUCCGGCAGUGGUGUUGCUAAUGGACUGAAGCGCAGAGCUGUAAAAUAACGACAGCAACAGGCGACCACGAGAAAUGCCCGUCAUUGAAGUGUAGAGGCAAACAGGCAUGAUGAAUGUAGGGCUGCGGUCCCUCUGGGACAUGUGGCUCCCUGCAGAACUGAUCUGUGGUCAGGCAACGUCCAGUCUGUGCAACGUUUUAUCACAGAGGAGCCUCUUCAUCAUCUCAACAUGUUGUACUGACAAAUAAAGACUGUCUUCUGCAGUGUAAUGUAAGGAUGACAUAAUUGCAACCAUGUCUUAAUAAAACUAAUACCUAAA